UAGGGAAUCUUCCACAAUGGACGCAAGUCUGAUGGAGCAACGCCGCGUGAGUGAAGAAGGCUUUCGGGUCGUAAAACUCUGUUAUUGAAGAAGAACGUGUGUGACAGUAACUGGUCAUGCAGUGACGGUAUUCAAUCAGAAAGUCACGGCUAACUACGUGCCAGCAGCCGCGGUAAUACGUAGGUGGCAAGCGUUGUCCGGAUUUAUUGGGCGUAAAGCGAGUGCAGGCGGUCUUUUAAGUCUGAUGUGAAAGCCUUCGGCUUAACCGAAGAAGGGCAUCGGAAACUGGGAGACUUGAGUGCAGAAGAGGAGAGUGGAACUCCAUGUGUAGCGGUGAAAUGCGUAGAUAUAUGGAAGAACACCAGUGGCGAAGGCGGCUCUCUGGUCUGUAACUGACGCUGAGGCUCGAAAGCGUGGGUAGCAAACAGGAUUAGAUA
rnacentral:rRNA from 1 species